rnacentral:rRNA from 1 species
CGAUGAAGGACGUGCUAAUCUGCGAUAAGCGCCGGUAAGGUGAUAUGAACCGUUAUAACCGGCGAUUUCCGAAUGGGGAAACCCAGUGUGAUUCGUCACACUAUCAUUAACUGAAUCCAUAGGUUAAUGAGGCGAACCGGGGGAACUGAAACAUCUAAGUACCCCGAGGAAAAGAAAUCAACCGAGAUUCCCCCAGUAGCGGCGAGCGAACGGGGAGGAGCCCAGAGCCUGAAUCAGCAUGUGUGUUAGUGGAAGCGUCUGGAAAGGCGCGCGAUACAGGGUGACAGCCCCGUACACAAAAGCGCAUGUGCUGUGAGCUCGAUGAGUAGGGCGGGACACGUGGUAUCCUGUCUGAAUAUGGGGGGACCAUCCUCCAAGGCUAAAUACUCCUGACUGACCGAUAGUGAACCAGUACCGUGAGGGAAAGGCGAAAAGAACCCCGGCGAGGGGAGUGAAAAAGAACCUGAAACCGUGUACGUACAAGCAGUGGGAGCACAGGUUUACCUGUGUGACUGCGUACCUUUUGUAUAAUGGGUCAGCGACUUAUAUUCUGUAGCAAG